rnacentral:snRNA from 1 species
AUGCUUGCUUCAACAGAAUAUAUACUAAAAAUUGGAACGAUACAGAGAAGAUCAGCAUGGCACUUGUGCAAGGAUGAUACGCAAAUUCACAAAGCAUUCCAUAUGUUU